GAACGUGCUCCCUUCGGGGAGAAAGUGGCGAAAGGGUGAGUAACACGUGAGCAACCUGCCUCCGGAUCCGGAAUAAUCCAGGGAAACUUGGUCUAAAACCGGAUGAAGACCUCGGGCCGCAUGGCCCUUGGUUAAAAUAUUCAUAGUCCGGAGAGGGGCUCGCGGCCCAUUAGCUUGUUGGCGGGGUAAGGGCCCACCAAGGCUACGACGGGUAGGUGGUCUGAGAGGAUGGUCACCCACACUGGGACUGAGACACUGCCCAGACUCCUACGGGAGGCUGCAGUCGAGAAUCUUCCGCAAUGGGCGCAAGCCUGACGGAGCGAUGCCGCGUGAGGGACGAAGGCCUUCGGGUCGUAAACCUCUGUCAUCCGGGACGAAAGCAAUGACGGUACCGGAAAAGGAAGCCACGGCUAACCACGUGCCAGCAGCCGCGGUAACACGUGGGUGGCGAGCGUUAUUCGGAUUUACUGGGCGUAAAGGGUCCGCAGGGGGCCUGCCGCGCCUGCCGUGAAAUUCCAAGGCUCAACCUUGGGCGUGCGGCGGGUACGGGCGGGCUAGAGUGCAAGAUGGGCAGACGGAAUUCCAGGUGUAGCGGUGGAAUGCGUAGAUAUCUGGAAGAACACCGACGGCGAAGGCGGUCUGCUGGCUUGCAACUGACCCUCAGGGACGAGAGCGUGGGUAGCAAACAGGAUUAGAUACCCUGGUAGUCCACGCCGUAAACGUUGUGUGCCAGAUGUGGGUGGGUUCGGCCCCAUCCGUGUCCAAGCUAACGCGGUAAGCACACCGCCUGGGGACUACGGCCGCAAGGCUAAAACUCAAAGGAAUUGACGG
rnacentral:rRNA from 1 species